GGUAUUGAAAUAAGAUUUUAAAUGAGUGCUAAGAGAAUGAUUAAACAAUUAAAAGCUUUCUUUAAUUGAAUAAUUGAAUUUAAUUUUUUAGUGCAAAAGCAAAAAUAAAAUUUAGGGACAAGAAGACCCUAUGAAUUUUUUAUUAAAUUUUAUAAAACUUUAUAUAAAGUUUAAUUUAAUUGGGGUGAUGGAAAAAGAAUAAAUAUCUUUUUUUUUAAAGAAAAUUGGUUCCGUUUUUAGCGAUUAAAUGAAAAAAAUACUCUAGGGAUAACAGCGUAAUAAUUUUGGAUAGUUCAUAUAGAUAAAAUAGUUUGCGACCUCGAUGUUGGAUUAGGAUUC
rnacentral:rRNA from 1 species